rnacentral:rRNA from 1 species
UACGGAGGGUGCGAGCGUUGUUCGGAAUCACUGGGCGUAAAGCGCGUGUAGGCGGCCCACUAAGUCUGAUGUGAAAGCCCGGGGCUCACCCCCGGAAGUGCAUUGGAAACUGGUGGACUCGAGUCUCGGAGAGGAGAGUGGAAUUCCUGGUGUAGCGGUGAAAUGCGUAGAUAUCAGGAGGAACACCGGUGGCGAAGGCGGCUCUCUGGACGGUGACUGACGCUGAGACGCGAAAGCGUGGGGAGCAAACAGG